rnacentral:rRNA from 1 species
GAUGAACGCUAGCGGCAGGCCUAAUACAUGCAAGUCGGACGGGAUUCAGGAGCUUGCUUCUGAUGAGAGUGGCGCACGGGUGCGUAACACGUAUGUAACCUACCUUUAUCAGGGGGAUAGCCUCUCGAAAGAGAGAUUAAGCCCGCAUAAAAUCACAGCACAGCCUUGUGUAAUGAUCAAAUAUUUAUAGGAUAAAGAUGGGCAUGCGGAACAUUAGCUAGAUGGCGGGGUAACGGCCCACCAUGGCGACGAUGUUUAGGGGAUCUGAGAGGAUGGCCCCCCACACUGGUACUGAGACACGGACCAGACUCCUACGGGAGGCAGCAGUAAGGAAUAUUGGUCAAUGGGCCGAAGCCUGAACCAGCCAUGCCGCGUGCAGGAAGACGGCCCUACGGGUUGUAAACUGCUUUUAUACGGGAAUAAACCCAGAUACGUGUAUCUGGCUGAAUGUACUGUAAGAAUAAGGAUCGGCUAACUCCGUG